rnacentral:rRNA from 1 species
AUACGGAGGGUGCAAGCGUUACUCGGAAUCACUGGGCGUAAAGGAUGCGUAGGCUGGAUGUCAAGUUGGAAGUGAAAUCCUAUGGCUUAACCAUAGAACUGCUUCCAAAACUGGCAACCUAGAGUGAUGGAGAGGCAGAUGGAAUUAGUGGUGUAGGGGUAAAAUCCGUAGAUAUCACUAGGAAUACCGAUUGCGAAGGCGAUCUGCUAGAACUCUACUGACGCUAAGGCAUGAAAGCGUGGGGAGCAAACAGGAUUAGAAACCCCAGUAGUCC